rnacentral:rRNA from 1 species
UACGAAGGGGGCUAGCGUUGCUCGGAAUCACUGGGCGUAAAGCGCACGUAGGCGGCUUUCUAAGUCAGGGGUGAAAUCCUGGAGCUCAACUCCAGAACUGCCUUUGAUACUGGAGAGCUUGAGUCCGGAAGAGGUGAGUGGAACUCCGAGUGUAGAGGUGAAAUUCGUAGAUAUUCGGAAGAACACCAGUGGCGAAGGCGGCUCACUGGACCGGUAUUGACGCUGAGGUGCGAAAGCGUGGGGAGCAAACAGG